rnacentral:rRNA from 1 species
UACCCGCAGCACAAGUGGUGGUCAUUAUUAUUGGGCCUAAAGCGUCCGUAGCUGGCUUGUUAGAUGCCUGGGUAAAUCGAUGCGCUCAACGUAUCGAACUCCGUGUAGACCGGCAAGCUUGGGACCGGGAGAGGCGUGAGCUACUCGGGGGGUAGGGGUAAAGUCCUGUAAUCCUCCGGGGAGGACCAGUGGCGAAGGCGUCACGCUAGAACGGCUCCGACAGUGAGGGACGAAGCCCUGGGGCGCAAACCGG